GUCACAGAUGGUAGAAACUGUUCUCAGCGUAGAAAACAUGGAGCAUUAGUGUACGGCUGCUUCUAAAAGCUGUUUGGUUGUAAAGCAGACCUAAGAUUGCAAAUUAAUGUGUCCUGCAGCUAAGAUUACUGGAGUCCACAGGAGUGAGGAUACGUCUCUUGUCAAGCAGUAAUGAUACCUACAAGGUGUUGAUUCAAGUAGAAAAGUGGUUCUUAGGUUGGCAUGGCAGUGCCAACAGGACAGCCAGGAUGUGCUGAAGAGGGAGAGUGAUGGCGUCUGGUUCUCCUGGGCACGCCACACAGGAUGUCAUUGUCAGCCUCCUGGUGUCGACGUCAAGGUAUUAUUUCUGUGGUCUGAAAAGGUGGGAGAGAGACCAAAAGUCAGAGAAUAUAACCAACCCAACACACCGGAAGCUAGUGAAGCCCUCUGAAUGGCUGAUCCCAGGGUAAGUUCCCAUGUGCUAAGCUGGAAUCAAGUGUGGGGUCUUCAUGGCGCCCAGUGCAUGUACAGUUGAGUGGAU
rnacentral:lncRNA from 1 species